rnacentral:rRNA from 1 species
AUGAACGCUGGCGGCGUGCCUAAUACAUGCAAGUCGAGCGAACAGACGAGGAGCUUGCUCCUCUGACGUUAGCGGCGGACGGGUGAGUAACACGUGGAUAACCUACCUAUAAGACUGGGAUAACUUCGGGAAACCGGAGCUAAUACCGGAUAAUAUAUUGAACCGCAUGGUUCAAUAGUGAAAGACGGUUUUGCUGUCACUUAUAGAUGGAUCCGCGCCGCAUUAGCUAGUUGGUAAGGUAACGGCUUACCAAGGCAACGAUGCGUAGCCGACCUGAGAGGGUGAUCGGCCACACUGGAACUGAGACACGGUCCAGACUCCUACGGGAGGCAGCAGUAGGGAAUCUUCCGCAAUGGGCGAAAGCUUGAGGGAGCAACGCCGCGUGAGUGAUGAAGGUCUUCGGAUCGUAAAACUCUGUUAUUAGGGAAGAACAAAUGUGUAAGUAACUAUGCACGUCUUGACGGUACCUAAUCAGAAAGCCACGGCUAACUACGUG